AUACGUAGGUGGCAAGCGUUGUCCGGAAUUACUGGGUGUAAAGGGCGUGUAGGCGGGGAUGCAAGUCAGAUGUGAAAUUCCGGGGCUCAACCCCGGCACUGCAUCUGAAACUGUGUCUCUUGAGUGCUGGAGUGGAAAGCGGAAUUCCUAGUGUAGCGGUGAAAUGCGUAGAUAUUAGGAGGAACACCAGUGGCGAAGGCGGCUUUCUGGACAGUAACUGACGCUGAGGCGCGAAAGCGUGGGUAGCGAACAGGAUUAGAUACCCUGGUAGUCCACGCCGUAAACGAUGGAUACUAGGUGUAGGAGGUAUCGACCCCUUCUGUGCCGGAGUUAACACAAUAAGUAUCCCACCUGGGGAGUACGGCCGCAAGGUUGAAACUCAAAGGAAUUGACGGGG
rnacentral:rRNA from 1 species